rnacentral:rRNA from 1 species
CAGUCGUACCUGCGGGUAAUCAGCCUUUUGGGCAUGAUUCUGUGGAGCGUGAGGAGUUAAACGCCUUCAUGCCUGCAUAUUCGUGUACAUUGGGUGUACUUGCCUGUGUGGUUAGUUAACAUCAAUUUUGGUUAUCAUAAAAUGGUUGGGGGAAUGUAGCUUCGAUUUCGAUUAAAGUGUUAUAACCUUCGGCAGAUGUGAUGAUCGGGAUUGAGGAUUGCAACGGAUACCCUUCGGGGCUACCUGUCUGGUCUCUGAUCGUUGCUUUGGUGCCGAAAGCGUGCUUACGGUUAUCAAAGUCGAUGGUCAAUAGGUUAGAAUGGGUUAAA